GAUGAACGCUGGCGGAAUGCUUUACACAUGCAAGUCGAACGGCAGCACGGGAGCUUGCUCCUGGUGGCGAGUGGCGAACGGGUGAGUAAUGCGUCGGAACGUACCGAGUAAUGGGGGAUAACGCAGCGAAAGUUGUGCUAAUAACGCAUACGCCCUUUGGGGAAAGCAGGGGAUCGCAAGACCUUGCGUUAUUCGAGCGGCCGACGUCUGAUUAGCUAGUUGGUAGGGUAAAGGCCUACCAAGGCUUCGAUCAGUAGCGGGUCUGAGAGGAUGAUCCGCCACCCUGGAACUGAGACACGGUCCAGACUCCUACGGGAGGCAGCAGUGGGGAAUUUUGGACAAUGGGGGCAACCCUGAUCCAGCCAUUCCGCGUGAGUGAAGAAGGCCUUCGGGUUGUAAAGCUCUUUCGGCAGGAACGAAACGGACUGCUCUAACAUAGCGGUCUAAUGACGGUACCUGAAGAAGAAGCACCGGCUAACUACGUGCCAGCCGCCGCCGUAAAAC
rnacentral:rRNA from 1 species